rnacentral:rRNA from 1 species
GGGUUGUGAGGUUAAGCGACUAAGCGUACACGGUGGAUGCCCUGGCAGUCAGAGGCGAUGAAGGACGUGCUAAUCUGCGAUAAGCGCCGGUAAGGUGAUAUGAACCGUUAUAACCGGCGAUUUCCGAAUGGGGAAACCCAGUGUGAUUCGUCACACUAUCAUUAACUGAAUCCAUAGGUUAAUGAGGCGAACCGGGGGAACUGAAACAUCUAAGUACCCCGAGGAAAAGAAAUCAACCGAGAUUCCCCCAGUAGCGGCGAGCGAACGGGGAGGAGCCCAGAGCCUGAAUCAGCAUGUGUGUUAGUGGAAGCGUCUGGAAAGGUGCGCGAUACAGGGUGACAGCCCCGUACACAAAAGCGCAUGUGCUGUGAGCUCGAUGAGUAGGGCGGGACACGUGGUAUCCUGUCUGAAUAUGGGGGGACCAUCCUCCAAGGCUAAAUACUCCUGACUGACCGAUAGUGAACCAGUACCGUGAGGGAAAGGCGAAAAGAACCCCGGCGAGGGGAGUGAAAAAGAACCUGAAACCGUGUACGUACAAGCAGUGGGAGCACAGGUUUACCUGUGUGACUGCGUACCUUUUGUAUAAUGGGUCAGCGACUUAUAUUCUGUAGCAAGGUUAACCGAAUAGGGGAGCCGGAGGGAAACCGAGUCUUAAUUGGGCGUUAAGUUGCAGGGUAUAGACCCGAAACCCGGUGAUCUAGCCAUGGGCAGGUUGAAGGUUGGGUAACACUAACUGGAGGACCGAACCGACUAAUGUUGAAAAAUUAGCGGAUGACCUGUGGCUGGGGGUGAAAGGCCAAUCAAACCGGGAGAUAGCUGGUUCUCCCCGAAAGCUAUUUAGGUAGCGCCUCGUGAAUUCAUCUCCGGGGGUAGAGCACUGUUUCGGCUAGGGGGCCAUCCCGGCUUACCAACCCGAUGCAAACUGCGAAUACCGGAGAAUGUUAUCACGGGAGACACACGGCGGGUGCUAACGUCCGUCGUGAAGAGGGAAACAACCCAGACCGCCAGCUAAGGUCCCAAAGUCAUGGUUAAGUGGGAAACGAUGUGGGAAGGCCCAGACAGCCAGGAUGUUGGCUUAGAAGCAGCCAUCAUUUAAAGAAAGCGUAAUAGCUCACUGGUCGAGUCGGCCUGCGCGGAAGAUGUAACGGGGCUAAACCAUGCACCGAAG